AACGGGUGAGUAACACGUGAGCAACCUGCCCCUGACUCUGGGAUAAGCGCUGGAAACGGCGUCUAAUACUGGAUACGAGACGUGAUCGCAUGGUCAACGUUUGGAAAGAUUUUUCGGUUGGGGAUGGGCUCGCGGCCUAUCAGCUUGUUGGUGAGGUAAUGGCUCACCAAGGCGUCGACGGGUAGCCGGCCUGAGAGGGUGACCGGCCACACUGGGACUGAGACACGGCCCAGACUCCUACGGGAGGCAGCAGUGGGGAAUAUUGCACAAUGGGCGCAAGCCUGAUGCAGCAACGCCGCGUGAGGGAUGACGGCCUUCGGGUUGUAAACCUCUUUUAGCAGGGAAGAAGCGAGAGUGACGGUACCUGCAGAAAAAGCACCGGCUAACUACGUGCCAGCAGCCGCGGUAAUACGUAGGGUGCAAGCGUUAUCCGGAAUUAUUGGGCGUAAAGAGCUCGUAGGCGGUUUGUCGCGUCUGCUGUGAAAUCUGGGGGCUCAACCCCCAGCCUGCAGUGGGUACGGGCAGACUAGAGUGCGGUAGGGGAGAUUGGAAUUCCUGGUGUAGCGGUGGAAUGCGCAGAUAUCAGGAGGAACACCGAUGGCGAAGGCAGAUCUCUGGGCCGUAACUGACGCUGAGGAGCGAAAGGGUGGGGAGCAAACAGGCUUAGAUACCCUGGUAGUCCACCCCGUAAACGUUGGGAACUAGUUGUGGGGUCCAUUCCACGGAUUCCGUGACGCAGCUAACGCAUUAAGUUCCCCGCCUGGGGAGUACGGCCGCAAGGCUAAAACUCAAAGGAAUUGACGGGGACCCGCACAAGCGGCGGAGCAUGCGGAUAAAUUCGAUGCAACGCGAAGAACCUUACCAAGGCUUGACAUAUACGAGAACGGGCCAGAAAUGGUCAACUCUUUGGACACUCGUAAACAGGGUGGUGCAUGGUUGUCGUCAGCUCGUGUCGUGAGAUGUUGGGUUAAGUCCCGCAACGAGCGCAACCCUCGUUCUAUGUUGCCAGCACGUAAUGGUGGGAACUCAUGG
rnacentral:rRNA from 1 species